CCUACGGGUGGCAGCAGUGGGGAAUAUUGCACAAUGGAGGAAACCCUGAUGCAGCGACGCCGCGUGAAGGAAGAAGUAUUUCGGUAUGUAAACUUCUAUCAGCAGGGAAGAAAAUUACGGUACCUGUCUUAGAAGCCCCGUCCAAAUACGUUCCAGCAGCCGUGGCAAUACGGAGGAGGCAAGCGUUAUCCGGAUUUACUGGGUGUAAAGGGAGUGUAGGCGGUUUAGCAAGUCAGAAGUGAAAGCCCGGGGUCCAACUGCGGAACUGCAUUUGAAACUGUUUAACUAGAGUGCAGGAGAGGUAAGUGGAAUUCCUAGUGUAGCGGUGAAAUGCGUAGAUAUUAGGAAGAACGCCGAUGGCGAAGGCAGCUUACUGGACUGUAAAUGACGCUGAGGCUCGAAAGCGUGGGGAGCAAACAGGAUUAGAUACCCGAGUAGUC
rnacentral:rRNA from 1 species